CAGUAGCCGCGGUAAUACAGAGGGUGCAAGCGUUAAUCGGAAUUACUGGGCGUAAAGCGCGCGUAGGUGGUUUGUUAAGUUGGAUGUGAAAUCCCCGGGCUCAACCUGGGAACUGCAUCCAAAACUGGCAGGCUAGAGUAGGGCAGAGGGUGGUGGAAUUUCCUGUGUAGCGGUGAAAUGCGUAGAUAUAGGAAGGAACAUCAGUGGCGAAGGCGACCACCUGGACUGAUACUGACACUGAGGUGCGAAAGCGUGGGGAGCAAACAGGAUUAGAUACCCCCGUAGUCCCUGUCUCUUAUAC
rnacentral:rRNA from 1 species